CAAUAGCGUAUAUUAAAGUUGUUGCGGUUAAAAAAGCUCGUAGUUGGAUUUCUGCUGAGGAUGACCGGUCCGCCCUCCGGGUGAGUAUCUGGCUCAGCCUUGGCAUCUUCCUGAAGAACGUAACUGCACUUGACUGUGUGGUGCGGUAUUUAGGACAUUUACUUUGAGGAAAUUAGAGUGUUUCAAGCAAGCGCACGCCUUGAAUACAUUAGCAUGGAAUAAUAAGAUAGGACCUCGGUUCUAUUUUGUUGGUUUUCGGAAGUCGAGGUAAUGAUUAAGAGGGACAGACGGGGGCAUUCGUACUGGGCCGCCAGAGGUGAAAUUCUUUAACUGGCUCAUGACGAACCACUGCGAAAGCAUUUGCCAAGAAUGUUUUCAUUAAUCAAGAACGAAAGUCAGAGGGUCGAAGACGAUUAGAUACCA
rnacentral:rRNA from 1 species